GACGAACGCUGGCGGCGUGCUUAACACAUGCAAGUCGAACGGAAAGGCCCUGCUUUUGUGGGGUGCUCGAGUGGCGAACGGGUGAGUAACACGUGAGUAACCUGCCCUUGACUUUGGGAUAACUUCAGGAAACUGGGGCUAAUACCGGAUAGGAGCUCCUGCUGCAUGGUGGGGGUUGGAUAGUUUCGGCGGUUGGGGAUGGACUCGCGGCUUAUCAGCUUGUUGGUGGGGUAGUGGCUUACCAAGGCUUUGACGGGUAGCCGGCCUGAGAGGGUGACCGGCCACAUUGGGACUGAGAUACGGCCCAGACUCCUACGGGAGGCAGCAGUGGGGAAUAUUGCACAAUGGGCGGAAGCCUGAUGCAGCAACGCCGCGUGCGGGAUGACGGCCUUCGGGUUGUAAACCGCUUUCGCCUGUGACGAAGCGUGAGUGACGGUAAUGGGUAAAGAGGCACCGGCUAACUACGUG
rnacentral:rRNA from 1 species